rnacentral:rRNA from 1 species
CGGCCUAUCAGCUUGUUGGUGGGGUAACGGCCUACCAAGGCAUCGACGGGUAGCUGGUCUGAGAGGACGAUCAGCCACACUGGGACUGAGACACGGCCCAGACUCCUACGGGAGGCAGCAGUGGGGAAUAUUGCACAAUGGGCGCAAGCCUGAUGCAGCGACGCCGCGUGGGGGAUGACGGCCUUCGGGUUGUAAACCUCUUUCAGCCAUGACGAAGCGUAAGUGACGGUAGUGGCAGAAGAAGCACCGGCCAACUACGUGCCAGCAGCCGCGGUAAUACGUAGGGGGCGAGCGUUGUCCGGAUUUAUUGGGCGUAAAGGGCUCGUAGGCGGCUUGACAAGUCGAUCGUGAAAACUCAGGGCUCAACCCUGAGACGCCGGUCGAUACUGUCAUGGCUAGGGUCCGGUAGAGGAGAAUGGAAUUCCCGGUGUAGCGGUGAAAUGCGCAGAUAUCGGGAGGAACACCAGUAGCGAAGGCGGUUCUCUGGGCCGGUACCGACGCUGAGGAGCGAAAGCGUGAGGAGCAAACAGGAUUAGAUACCCUGGUAGUCCACGCCGUAAACGUUGGGCACUAGGUGUGGCGAACUCAUUGACGUUCGCUGUGCCGGCGCUAACGCAUUAAGUGCCCCGCCUGGGGAGUACGG